rnacentral:lncRNA from 1 species
GAAGAAAAGAGUCCUGGGCAAAAUUUGCAAUAAAAAGGCACGUGGUAAUCAUCGACCUCUAGACAGAGACAUGGCUAGACUUCAGGUCCCACGGCCUCAGUUACAUCACCCUCGGGAGGGUGUGGCCUGUUCUUGAAGACCUCUAGAAAGGUCGCUCCUCAGCUUGCAGCCAGUACCACCCCACCUCCCGCUGCAGGUGGACAGGGCCUGCAGUGUUCUGCAGCUGCUCUUCUCCUGCCUCCCAAAUCCUGGCUGGCCUAUAACUUGCUUUGACUGAUGCAUUGCAGCACCCAGCAAUGUGCAAGGUCAGAGUCUGGGCCUCCAGGAACCUUGUGCAUCCACCAUGACCUUCUCGGAAUGCACUUGUGGCCUGUAAGGAAGCCCUGGAGGAGGCAAGCUGAGUCACGACUGCCCAUGUGAAGAAGGAGGGCCAGCACACACCACCAGGCCUGUGAGGCAGGCCCUGCAGACCUGUCCAGCGGGUGCCAGCUGGGUGCAGCCUCCCAAGCGAGCUCGAACAGCCCCCAGAGCCAGGAGACAGAAUGGAUCGUCCUGGUUGUAAGCCACCUAGUUUUGGUGUGGUUUGUUAUGUGGCGAGAUAACCGGCCCACCUCUCUGGUGGGAAAGUCCGGUGCAUAUAAAAGGAAACAAAGUCCCACGCUGCCAGCCAGGUUGAAGUGCAGUGGCUCCGUCACUGCAACCUUGAACUCCUGGCUCAAAGGAUCCUUCCUGCCUCAGCCUCCCAAAGUACUGGGAUUGCAGGCAUGAACCACCGCGCCUAGCUUGCUGAGCAGUUUAAAACAGCAAGUCCCCUACAGUGCUUCAGCUAGCAUAUAGUAAAUACUCAAUAAAUGGCAUCUAUUAAUAUUCUGUCACCAUAGUAUUGUCUGUUGUUUAUUCAGUAUUCUGCAGUAUUCCCAUUGUGAUAUGUAGGUAUAGAUACCUGAAAGCUACACUCUAGGGCUGAUAGUCAACAUUUGAAGUGCCCUAAUCAGCAGUUUGCAUUGGUUCACUUUGGAAGGAUCUCAAUCAAGAAUCUACCCUCUAG